rnacentral:rRNA from 1 species
UGGGGAAUAUUGCACAAUGGGGGAAACCCUGAUGCAGCCAUGCCGCGUGUGUGAAGAAGGCCUUAGGGUUGUAAAGCACUUUCAGUCGUGAGGAAAGGGUGUUGUUUAAUAGAUAACAUCUGUGACGUUAGCGACAGAAGAAGCACCGGCUAACUCCGUGCCAGCAGCCGCGGUAAUACGGAGGGUGCGAGCGUUAAUCGGAAUUACUGGGCGUAAAGCGUACGUAGGCGGUUUGAUAAGCGAGAUGUGAAAUCCCGGGGCUCAACCUCGGAACUGCAUUUCGAACUGUCAGGCUAGAGUAUUGUAGAGGGUGGUGGAAUUUCCAGUGUAGCGGUGAAAUGCGUAGAGAU